UACAGAGGGUGCGAGCGUUAAUCGGAAUUACUGGGCGUAAAGCGUGCGUAGACGGUUAUUUAAGUCGGGUGUGAAAUCCCCGGGCUCAACCUGGGAACUGCAUCCGAAACUGCCUUGCUAGAGUAUGGGAGAGGGAAGUGGAAUUUCCGGUGUAGCGGUGAAAUGCGUAGAUAUCGGAAGGAACAUCAGUGGCGAAGGCGACUUCCUGGACCAAUACUGACGCUCAGGUGCGAAAGCGUGGGGAGCAAACAGGG
rnacentral:rRNA from 1 species